rnacentral:rRNA from 1 species
UGCAGCCAUGCCGCGUGUAUGAAGAAGGCCUUCGGGUUGUAAAGUACUUUCAGCAGUGAGGAAGAUGGUGUGUUUAAUACGCGCAUCAUUUGACGUUAGCUGCAGAAGAAGCACCGGCUAACUCCGUGCCAGCAGCCGCGGUAAUACGGAGGGUGCGAGCGUUAAUCGGAAUUACUGGGCGUAAAGCGCAUGCAGGUGGUUUGUUAAGUCAGAUGUGAAAGCCCGGGGCUCAACCUCGGAAUAGCAUUUGAAACUGGCAGACUAGAGUACUGUAGAGGGGGGUAGAAUUUCAGGUGUAGCGGUGAAAUGCGUAGAGAUCUGAAGGAAUACCGGUGGCGAAGGCGGCCCCCUGGACAGAUACUGACACUCAGAUGCGAAAGCGUGGGGAGCAAACAGGAUUAGAUACCCUGGUAGUCCACGCCGUAAACGAUGUCUACUUGGAGGUUGUGGCCUUGAGCCGUGGCUUUCGGAGCUAACGCGUUAAGUAGACCGCCUGGGGAGUACGGUCGCAAGAUUAAAACUCAAAUGAAUUGACGGGGGCCCGCACAAGCGGUGGAGCAUGUGGUUUAAUUCGAUGCAACGCGAAGAACCUUACCUACUCUUGACAUCCUCAGAAGAGACUGGAGACAGUCUUGUGCCUUCGGGAACUGAGAGACAGGUGCUGCAUGGCUGUCGUCAGCUCGUGUUGUGAAAUGUUGGGUUAAGUCCCGCAACGAGCGCAACCCUUAUCCUUGUUUGCCAGCACU